rnacentral:rRNA from 1 species
AUUGAACGCUGGCGGCAGGCCUAACACAUGCAAGUCGAACGGCAGCACAGAAGAGCUUGCUCUUUGGGUGGCGAGUGGCGGACGGGUGAGUAAUGUCUGGGAAACCGCCCGAUGGAGGGGGAUAACUACUGGAAACGGUAGCUAAUACCGCAUGACGUCGCAAGACCAAAGUGGGGGACCUUCGGGCCUCACACCAUCGGAUGUGCCCAGAUGGGAUUAGCUAGUAGGUGGGGUAAUGGCUCACCUAGGCGACGAUCCCUAGCUGGUCUGAGAGGAUGACCAGCCACACUGGAACUGAGACACGGUCCAGACGCCUACGGGAGGCAGCAGUGGGGAGUAUUGCACAAUGGGCGCAAGCCUGAUGCAGCCAUGCCGCGUGUAUGAAGAAGGCCUUCGGGUUGUAAAGUACUUUCAGCGGGGAGGAAGGCGGUGAAGUUAAUAACUUCACCGAUUGACGUUACCCGCAGAAGAAGCACCGGCUAACUCCGUGCCAGCAGCCGCAGUAA